AUUGAACGCUGGCGGCAGGCCUAACACAUGCAAGUCGAGCGGAUGAAGGGAGCUUGCUCCUGGAUUCAGCGGCGGACGGGUGAGUAAUGCCUAGGAAUCUGCCUGGUAGUGCGGGAUAACGUCCGGAAACGGGCGCUAAUACCGCAUACGUCCUGAGGGAGAAAGUGGGGGAUCUUCGGACCUCACGCUAUCAGAUGAGCCUAGGUCGGAUUAGCUAGUUGGUGGGGUAAAGGCCUACCAAGGCGACGAUCCGUAACUGGUCUGAGAGGAUGAUCAGUCACACUGGAACUGAGACACGGUCCAGACUCCUACGGGAGGCAGCAGUGGGGAAUAUUGGACAAUGGGCGAAAGCCUGAUCCAGCCAUGCCGCGUGUGUGAAGAAGGUCUUCGGAUUGUAAAGCACUUUAAGUUGGGAGGAAGGGCAGUAAGUUAAUACCUUGCUGUUUUGACGUUACCAACAGAAUAAGCACCGGCUAACUUCGUG
rnacentral:rRNA from 1 species